UACGAAGGGGGCUAGCGUUGCUCGGAAUCACUGGGCGUAAAGGGUGCGUAGGCGGGUUUUUAAGUCAGAGGUGAAAUCCUGGAGCUCAACUCCAGAACUGCCUUUGAUACUGAGAAUCUUGAGUAUGGGAGAGGUGAGUGGAACUGCGAGUGUAGAGGUGAAAUUCGUAGAUAUUCGCAAGAACACCAGUGGCGAAGGCGGCUCACUGGCCCAUAACUGACGCUGAGGCACAAAAGCGUGGGGAGCAAACAGG
rnacentral:rRNA from 1 species